rnacentral:rRNA from 1 species
UGGGGAAUAUUGCGCAAUGGGCGAAAGCCUGACGCAGCAACGCCGCGUGAGGGAUGACGGCCUUCGGGUUGUGAAAUCCUCUUUCAAGCAGGGACGUAAGCGAGAGUGACGGUACCUGCAGAACGAAGGGACCGGGACCAAAGCCGCAUACGUGCCAGCAGCCGCGGUAAUACGUAGGGUCCGAGCGUUGUCCGGAAUUAUUGGGCGUAAAGGGCUCGUAGGCGGUUCGUCACGUCGGGAGUGAAAACUCGGAGCUUAACUCCGAGCCUGCUUCCGAUACGGGCAGACUAGAGGUAGGCAGGGGAGAGCGGAACUCCUGGUGUAGCGGUGGAAUGCGCAGAUAUCAGGAGGAACACCGGUGGCGAAGGCGGUUCUCUGGGCAUUACCUGACGCUGAGGAGCGAAAGUGUGGGGAGCGAACA